GGACUGAGACCCGGCCCAAACUCCUACGGGAGGCUGCAGUAGGGAAUCUUCCACAAUGGGCGAAAGCCUGAUGGAGCAACGCCGCGUGUGUGAUGAAGGCUUUCGGGUCGUAAAGCACUGUUGUAUGGGAAGAAAAGUUAAGGUAGGGAAUGACCUUAGCCUGACGGUACCAUACCAGAAAGGGACGGCUAAAUACGUGCCAGCAGCCGCGGUAAUACGUAUGUCCCGAGCGUUAUCCGGAUUUAUUGGGCGUAAAGCGAGCGCAGACGGUUGGUUAAGUCUGAUGUGAAAGCCCGGAGCUCAACUCCGGAAAGGCAUUGGAAACUGGUUAACUUGAGUGCAGUAGAGGUAAGUGGAACUCCAUGUGUAGCGGUGGAAUGCGUAGAUAUAUGGAAGAACACCAGCGGCGAAGGCGGCUUACUGGACUGUAACUGACGUUGAGGCUCGAAAGUGUGGGUAGCAAACAGGAUUAGAUACCCUGGUAGUCCACACCGUAAACGAUGAACACUAGGUGUUAGGAGGUUUCCGCCUCUUAGUGCCGAAGCUAACGCAUUAAGUGUUCCGCCUGGGGAGUACGACCGCAAGGUUGAAACUCAAAGGAAUUGACGGGGACCCGCACAAGCGGUGGAGCAUGUGGUUUAAUUCGAAGCAACGCGAAGAACCUUACCAGGUCUUGACAUCCUUUGAAGCUUUUAGAAAUAGAAGUGUUCUCUUCGGAGACAAAGUGACAGGUGGUGCAUGGUCGUCGUCAGCUCGUGUCGUGAGAUGUUGGGUUAAGUCCCGCAACGAGCGCAACCCUUAUUGUUAGUUGCCAGCAUUCAGAUGGGCACUCUAGCGAGACUGCCGGUGACAAACCGGAGGAAGGCGGGGACGACGUCAGAUCAUCAUGCCCCUUAUGACCUGGGCUACACACGUGCUACAAUGGCGUAUACAACGAGUUGCCAACCUGCGAAGGUGAGCUAAUCUCUUAAAGUACGUCUCAGUUCGGACUGCAGUCUGCAACUCGACUGCACGAAGUCGGAAUCGCUAGUAAUCGCGGAUCAGCACGCCGCGGUGAAUACGUUCCCGGGUCUUGUACACACCGCCCGUCACACCAUGGAAGUUUGUAAUGCCCAAAGCCGGUGGCCUAACCGUAAGGAGGGAACC
rnacentral:rRNA from 1 species